UACGUAGGGCGCAAGCAUUGUCCGGAAUUAUUGGGCGUAAAGAGCUCGUAGGCGGUCUGUCGCGUCGGAUGUGAAAGCCCGGGGCUUAACCCCGGGUCUGCAUUCGAUACGGGCAGACUAGAGUGUGGUAGGGGAGAUCGGAAUUCCUGGUGUAGCGGUGAAAUGCGUAGAUAUCUGGAGGAACACCGGUGGCGAAGGCGGCAUCCUGGACCGGUAUUGACGCUGAGGCGCGAAAGCUAGGGUAGCAAACGGG
rnacentral:rRNA from 1 species